rnacentral:rRNA from 1 species
AGAGUUUGAUCAUGGCUCAGGAUGAACGCUAGCUACAGGCUUAACACAUGCAAGUCGAGGGGAAACGAUAUUGGAAGCUUGCUUCCGAUAGGCGUCGACCGGCGUACGGGUGAGUAACGCGUAUCCAACCUGCCCACCACUUGGGGAUAACCUUGCGAAAGUAAGACUAAUACCCAAUGACGUCUCUAGAAGACAUCUGAAAGAGAUUAAAGAUUUAUCGGUGAUGGAUGGGGAGUGCGUCUGAUUAGCUUGUUGGCGGGGUAACGGGCCCACCCAAGGCGACGAUCAGUAGGGGUUCGUGAGAGGAAGGCCCCCCACCAUUGGAACUGAGACACGGUCCAAACUACCUACGGGAGGGCAGCA